AAUGUAGAGCCUGAAACUAAAGGGUUAUCUUGAUGUGAUAAAAUUUGUAAUAUUUUACCUACAUUA
rnacentral:tRNA from 1 species